rnacentral:lncRNA from 1 species
CACAAACCCGAUUAUCUCUUUCUGAACAAGGAGGGAAAUACUGGACCUGAGUUAUCAGAAGCCAGCAACAAGAAAACCCACAACCCUGGAUGUGGCUGAAUGGCAAUAUUAGCACCAAAUACAGAAGAUGGGAAACAGUGAUGUCAGUGCCAUAUUUACAACCUGAAUUUUUUUCUAAAUGAAAACCCUGCCUAUAUCGACAUAAUGAAAUAACUGACAAGAAUGAAGUCAAGACCAGGACAUUUCUUCAAACUACUACACAGACUAUUCUAGUGCUGUGCUUUGAAAGGAAAACGUAGGAGUCUAAAUCAGCAUUUAGGCUUGUAUCCUUUAUCUAAGAAUGAUCCCAAUGCAGUACAGAAAAGACAAAAGUAAGUAUAAUGAGUGUGUGAGUGUGUGUGUGUGCUUGUGUGUGUGUGUGUGU